UCCCCUCCCCUCUAGGUCCCCUCCCCUCUGCGCAUGACAGGUGGUGAGACAGCUGCACACUCCGCUGGGGACGGUAGUUCGGCGGUGUAUAACGGUGUAAGAGCCCGCGCACCUCCCCUGCGCAACGCCGCGAUGAAUGCCAGCGCGCCGCGGAGAAGAAGGCUCGGGCUGCGAAACGGGAGCGGCGGCGUGCCGAUCCCGAACUUCGGGCUCGCGAAGCCGAAAGGAAACGGCGGCUAGCGGACCCCAUUCUCCGAGCUCGGGAAGCCGAAUUGAAGCGUCAACGUCGAGUAGCAGAUCUCGUAGCGGCAACGCGAAGCCGAAGCGAAACGUAAACAACGAGCAGCGAAUCUCGAAGCGGCGCGGCAAUGCGAGUCGGCGGCGAAGGCAGCGCAGUUCAAGCGCGAGUUCCUGGAUAGGAGCUUCGGGCACAUCUGCAAGGUAUGCGACCCACUGUGGUUGUACAACAACCUGACCAAGGCCGCAGUAGCAUCAACGACAAACAGCACCGUCACGUGUCAUCGGUGUGCUCCAUGCUCCAACAAGAUCGAGUUCGGGCAGAGUGCAGCAACUACAGUGAUAUCCGCACCGUUGUUUAUCAGCAAAGUUGUCCUCCAUGCCAAAUAGACCUUUUCAUGCUAGCCACCCUAUCCAUGCUGCGCAGCUGGUGUGACGUCGGCAUAGUUGUCGCUUAGCAACCAUGUAAGUCUACGUCUAGCUCCAGAUGUUCUCUGUAGGGGCGCGCCAGCGCUUGCUCGGCCGUGUUCAGGCAACACCACCUGGCUACGGUUCAGACAUUCAAAAGCAACGGGUCGGUCGUGCAAAGUUCGCACAGCCGAAGAGGAGGCCGUUUACCUCGAAGCUAGGCGUGCUGCGGCCCGAGAAAGUAACCGUAAACGGCGAUCGGAUCCCGACUAUGCUCGACGGGUACGCGAAGCGAGCGCGGCGAGGAAGCAAGCCAAGCGAAGUGUGCCAGGUGUGAGUCGAGCCGAGCACAAUUAUGUGACGAAAGGCCCGCCCUUCUACCCUGAGGGGCCACAUCCAGCGCAACCAGUACACAUCGUGUGAGAAAACCGUGUCCAAAUCAACAGAGGCUAAUAUAGUCCCCAAGAUACACCAUGUAUCGACGCAAAUUGAGAAACGAAUUCAAGGUUUCUACAACGCCUGCCCACCAGCGAAUGUGCCACAGCCAAUCAAAGAGUGCCAACCUCAGCAGAAGCAGUUUCCAGAGAGAGGUUACAAAGCAGCAUCCUCUGUAUUGUAGAGGACCAAGAAUAGCGACUCCAGGAACCUGUGAAAGUCGUGGAAGGUGCCAGUGCAUAUGCAAAAGAGGCUGCUGACAAAACCACAUGGUGUGCAGGCAUCUAUCAGACCAACAUGUACUCUCCAACGGUCUCCUGUUGGAUGCAAUCCCACGAUCUCGAAGACAGCGACAAUAUUUCUUGAUCGUCGGAACCGCUGUCCCAAGGUCAACGCCUCUAGUCUUGGAAUAUCCAACACGGACCAGCAGUCGAAUGGAGGAAUAUUGAAAUGGUGAUGGCAUCACAGAUGGUGAUGAUGAGUGCAGACUGACAGCAAGCUCACCUUUAAUGAAGAAGGAGAGAAAAAGGCCCUGCCACAGUCAAUCGAGAGCCCGCACUUGUCAUCGUCAGUGAUAGCGCACUGUGCUCAUGGAGGUUUCAAGAUCUGGAGGCUUUGAACUUAUGACAGUGCUGUGACCUUUCCAAUGCAACCUGUGCCUACAGACGAUUGUAUAUUGAAAUAGUCUUCUCGCGUUUUACAUUGACACAGCCUAAGGAAAAGUGCCGAUUCUGCGAGCACACACUUGCUUGCAAUGGUCCUUUUCAGCAAAUAAUUAGCAAAUAAAUGAGUCGGAAGCUCGCAUCUAUCGGUAGAUUGCAUGGUGUUGUGUCAGAUUUCUUGCUCUAUUUUCGAUAAAAUUAAUUUUGCCAUUCUUUCAACCCGCAAUCCUGCCUUGCAAUCCUUUCAUCCCUCUUGACUAGCCUCAGCUGGUCUCCGAGUGCAGGACUGGACUGCACUGCCUUUCACAUAAAUCUGCUGAUAAUCUCUUCCUGCCCUUCGGUGCUAGCUGUGCAUUCCCAUGUGCUGUGGUUCGGUGUCAGUGUGCUCUCACUCCGCCGGCAUAUGUAUUCGUAUUCUGUUGGGUAAUACGUAUGUAAUCUGUGGAUGUUUGUGUGUCUGUAUGGUGCCAACGCCGCAGAAUCCACGGCCGAAAGGUACUUGUGUGGUACUGGGUGGAGCCUCAGCUAUUCUCAGUAAUAUUGCAGGAUCGCCUUUUAACUGUGAUCGAUGGUCGUUAGGUUCUCCACGGUGUUAGACUGAAGCGUGCAGAACUUUAGCAUUGAGAAGCCGAAGCUAGAUCGCAUUCAUUGCUUCGCCUCUUUGGCGAAACUGUGACUUUUUUUCUCGAAUACUAACCACCUACGAUAUAUUUUAGCAGUCCAUUGUACAAUUUUAUGUGCGGUACUUCUUGUAGGAAGUUUUAUUAUGCAGAAGCGAUACACUCAAACCCCGAUAUAACAAUCCAGGAUAUAACAAAUUAUAGGUUAUAAGGAAGUAGAUGAAAAAUAGUCUUGCCAUAGAUAUAGUGUUAGGAAUAAACCUGCAUAACGAAUGUUUAGAUAUAACAAAUUUAUUUUUGUAUAAGAUGCAACUUUGUUAUAAUGAGGUCUGGGGUAUGAGACAAGGGGGCAUUAGAUUUAUGCGGCAUGCAUAAAACAUGACGAGUUAAGCUAUUAAUUCAUCCACUUUUCUCUUGUGGUUACAGGCACCGUCACAUAAAAGCACAGCCUCAUGUGAUGCACCAGAAUGCCUUUAAAGUGCCUGCUGUGAUAACGUGAUUUUUUGAUAUUGAGGUUCUCCCCACCACAAACAUAGGCUCCAUAAAAACCACCCACCACCACUUGGCCAAUGCGGUGGGCGCACUGUGAGAAACGAGCCGUUUUAAUGGUCAACUAAGGUCAACACAUCCUUUGUUUUGUAAAAUGGUGGCUAACUUCAGAGGAAUACCUUCGAGCUUUCCAAACUCUGUAUAUUUACAAAUCACCCCAUGCCCCAUAGAAACGAGGAAAAAGGCAAGGGCAAGAGAUUUUUGGCUCACGCGCCUGUCAUCUUUGUAGAGGAAGCAUUGACUUAGAUUUAGGUGCAUAUGUGAAAGGACCACAUGUGGCAGAAAUUUCUGUACCCUUUCAUUCCGACGUCCCUCAUGAUUAUCUGGUUUUCGGACAUCAAACCCCAACAAUCAUAUUGUAUACUUGACUUAAUUGGUUGUGUCUGACAAGGUGCAUUGCAGUAUUUUCAGUCACCCUGUAGAUGCUGAUGCCUCCUUACUUUCAAUGGAUAGGGUUCAGGCAUACUUGUUCCCAGUUCAACUAGUGAAAUAGGGCUUUAAUGAUUAUUACGUUCUUGGAUGCUUUAUAUCAUGCUGCGAUCAGGUUGUAUUGCUGGCACAAUCAACUGCAGUUUUUCAAGGGAACCGUUUUGUGCAGCGUGACCAGUCUACAUUUUGUGAGAAGGGCAUGUCCAAAGCAACAAACGCUAACAUGACAUCGAUAGUUGGAUGGAAAUAUGUCUGAUCAAGAACAGACAAAGACAAAACAAGACAUUUCGGCCCCUGUACGGAAAGCUUGUUCACAGCGAAGAAAAAAUAAAACGAAAAGUUGGCCCCG